rnacentral:rRNA from 1 species
AUUGAACGCUGGCGGCAUGCCUUACACAUGCAAGUCGAACGGCAGCGGGGACUUCGGUCCGCCGGCGAGUGGCGAACGGGUGAGUAAUGUAUCGGAACGUACCAUUCAGUGGGGGAUAACUAUCCGAAAGGAUAGCUAAUACCGCAUAUUCUGUGAGCAGGAAAGCAGGGGAUCGCAAGACCUUGAGCUGAUUGAGCGGUCGAUAUCAGAUUAGCUAGGUGGUGAGGUAACGGCUCACCAAGGCUACGAUCUGUAGCGGGUCUGAGAGGAUGAUCCGCCACACUGGGACUGAGACACGGCCCAGACUCCUACGGGAGGCAGCAGUGGGGAAUUUUGGACAAUGGGCGCAAGCCUGAUCCAGCCAUGCCGCGUGAGUGAAGAAGGCCUUCGGGUUGUAAAGCUCUUUCGGCCGGGAAGAAAUCGCAUCAGCUAAUACCUGGUGUGGAUGACGGUACCGGAAUAAGAAGCACCGGCUAACUACGUGCCAGCCGCCGCAGUAACAC